GAAUUGCUAGUAAUCGCGGAUCAGCAUGCCGCGGUGAAUACGUUCCCGGGCCUUGUACACACCGCCCGUCACACCAUGGGAGUCGGUAACACCCGAAGCCUGUAGUCUAACCGCAAGGAGGACGCAGUCGAAGGUGGGAUUGAUGACUGGGGUGAAGUCGUAACAAGGUACC
rnacentral:rRNA from 1 species